UGUGAUUAAGUUAAGGCCCUUGAGAUAGGAAGAUGAUCCUGGACUAUCUGGGUGGGCCCCGUGUCAUCACAAACAGCCGUGAAGGUGAAAGG